rnacentral:rRNA from 1 species
GACGUAGGGCGCGAGCGUUGUCCGGAUUUAUUGGGCGUAAAGAGCUCGUAGGCGGCUUGUCGCGUCGUCCGUGAAAACCUGCAGCUCAACUGCAGGCUUGCGGUCGAUACGGGCAGGCUAGAGUUCGGUAGGGGAGACUGGAAUUCCUGGUGUAGCGGUGAAAUGCGCAGAUAUCAGGAGGAACACCGGUGGCGAAGGCAGGUCUCUGGGCCGAUACUGACGCUGAGGAGCGAAAGCGUGGGGAGCGAACAGG